UACGAAGGGGGCUAGCGUUGCUCGGAAUCACUGGGCGUAAAGGGGUGCGUAGGCGGGUUAUUAAGUCAGAGGUGAAAUCCUGGAGCUCAACUCCAGAACUGCCUUUGAUACUGAUAGUCUUGAGUAUGGGAGAGGUGAGUGGAACUGCGAGUGUAGAGGUGAAAUUCGUAGAUAUUCGCAAGAACACCAGUGGCGAAGGCGGCUCACUGGCCCAUAACUGACGCUGAGGCACGAAAGCGUGGGGAGCGAACAGG
rnacentral:rRNA from 1 species